rnacentral:lncRNA from 1 species
GUCACCGGGAGUGGGCGGGCCAUUUCUUGUUCUCUCUCCCGCUCUCGGAAGCUUUCGUCUCGUGGGUGCGAAAGGUAACCGAAGCGGCUCAGGAAGGCAGCUGUCACUGAGCCCCUGGAACAGAGCGAGAGUAUCGAAGUGAGUGCUUUUGGUGAGGAAGGUGAAGGUGAUUAUCUGGAUGACUGGACAGUGCUCUGUAAUGGACCCUACUGGGUGAGAGAUGGUGAGGUGCGGUUCAAACACUCUUCCACUGAGGUACUGCUGUCUGUCACAGGAGAACAAUAUGGUCGACCUAUCAGUGGGCAAAAAGAGGUGCAUGGCAUGGCCCAGCCAAGUCAGAACAACUACUGGAAAGCCAUGGAAGGCAUCUUCAUGAAGCCCAGUGAGUUGUUGAAGGCAGAAGCCCACCAUGCAGAGCUGUGAAUCUAGAGGCUCUGAGCCACUGUUAACGCACAAUGUUCACAGACAUCUGUUGCUGCCUCACCUUGGGAUCCCUGCCACAAGUUCCUUGGGCAGUGGCCAUGUCACCAUUGAGAUGAAGAUAUACAACAGAAAAUAGUGGCUGUGUUUGGAAGCUUCAGCCCUGCACAUUUGAACUAGUCACUCUCCCAGACUUGCGUGGGUCAGUUCUUUCUGAGUAGAGGACUUGCUGGUAAAGGGGCAGAUGCUUUUUAUUAGUACUGAUAAAACAAACUGAGGGAAACAUCCCUCUUAGCUGGGAAACUUUUACUCUUCAGGAGCUUGGCAUCAUGGACUGUUAAUGUAUGUGAUUUUCCCCCUAUUUUCUCUCUCCAAAAUGAUAAAAACAAUAAUUUUAUUAUGA